GUGCUCCCUUUAGAAGCACAUAGACUAAAACUGAGGUAACAGAGAAGAUUCAUUUGGUCCCUCCCUAUGGAUGACACACAAAUACAUGAAUCAUUCCAUAUUUUA
ensembl:snRNA U6 U6 spliceosomal RNA